GGAAAUUCAUCUAUAUAUAAAAUAUAACACAAAGACAAAGUUGAUUUGUUUGCAUUUAUUUUGAAUGUAUUUUAUUUUUUUAAUCUGUCCACAAAGUCAUAUUAGUCACUACUAUGUUAGAUCAGUUUUCCCUCACUGCAAUGGCAGUCAACUACACAAGAGCCCAAACCCAGCGUGGCCCCCUCAGCUCUUACAGAUUUUUACUUUAUUACCAGAGAUAUUUCUACAUGUGUUUUUAAACAUAAAAAGGAGCCAAAUCAUGUUUGAAAAGAUGGUUUUAAUCUGGAAGGGGGCUAAGUAACCCUGACAGCUGACUUUGUGAAAAAUUUUCAAGUCAGUUGGAAGCAUUUUACUGGUGAGUCAACAUGUCGGAAACAAGUCUAACAUCUUGUAGUGUUUUCUUAAAAAAGAAAUAAAGUCUGAUUCAAGUCUAGACUCAUAGCUGGCUGAUCUUGAAGAAUGUCCCCACAGUAACUUCCUACUUUUUGUGAAAAAUUCUAAUUAAUUAGAAAUGUCUGGCCUGAAAUGGCUGCCAAUAUGACAAAAAUGGGCAUAUGUCUCAGUAAAAAAACAAUUGACAUUUUUUUCCCAAUAAUCCAAAAUCACCAUUCAGAUCUCUACAGCUACAAUUACACAAGAAUCACAAAAAUCCACAUACAAUUAUGAUAAUUAUUGAAGAAUAUGCAAGUCCCUUCGACUGUUCUCUUGUUUGUGCUCGGGGUUGCCAAAGGAAAUCCAAGGUGGAUCUGCAUGUUGAUUUGGCACAGCUUUUAUGCCGGAUGUCCUUUCUGACACAACUCCACAUUACAACAAGAAAUGUGGCAGGGGUGGGGUUUGAACUGGGGACCUUUUGCACUGAAACCAAGCACACUAACCACUUGGGCACCACCAGAAGAAUAUGAACCUUAGUUAAAUUGUGUUUCUUUAAAAAAUAAACCAGCCAUUCCAUUAAGAAAGGAAGUAUUUUGGCUCAGUUGUAAACACGUAGUUUCAGGCAGGAUUUGAUAUUUUAAAUAAAUAAAUAAAUAAAUACAAUUAAGGAUGGAGUCACAGCUACACUGUAAAGUAUUCUUUAAAUGAGCAUGCUGCUUCACAGCAAAAGGGUCUGUUUUUAAAAUCUGUCAUCAACAAAGUAAUUUGUCAUUGGACGACAAAAAUGAUUGGCAUUUUGCUUUAUUCCCAUCUGCUAGAGGGAGGAGUAGAAAGGACCAUCGCUCGGGUUUGUGCUCUCAUUAAAAACAAAAGACCACAACAUUUCUAGUGCUAUCUGUACAACAUUCAACAACACGUUUCUCUUUUUUUUUUUACCAUAAUGCCAAAGCAAUAAUAAUAAUA